CCAAACUUGGUCAUUUAGAGGAAGUAAAAGUCGUAACAAGGUCUCCGUUGGUGAACCAGCGGAGGGAUCAUUAGAGAGUAUAAAAACUCCCAAACCCAUGUGAACAUACCUCUCGUUGCCUCGGCGGGGAGGGGGUCAACCCUAUAGGGAAGGCCCUCCCGCCGCCGCUGGCCCCUUAAACUCUGUUUUAUUUUGGAACUCUGAAUCUUAAAGCAAAUAAGUUAAAACUUUCAACAACGGAUCUCUUGGUUCUGGCAUCGAUGAAGAACGCAGC
rnacentral:misc_RNA from 1 species